rnacentral:rRNA from 1 species
ACCUACGGGGGGCAGCAGUGGGGAAUAUUGGGCAAUGGGCGCAAGCCUGACCCAGCAACGCCGCGUGAAGGAAGAAGGCUUUCGGGUUGUAAACUUCUUUUGUCAGGGACGAAGCAAGUGACGGUACCUGACGAAUAAGCCACGGCUAACUACGUGCCAGCAGCCGCGGUAAUACGUAGGUGGCAAGCGUUAUCCGGAUUUACUGGGUGUAAAGGGCGUGUAGGCGGGGCUGCAAGUCAGAUGUGAAAACCACGGGCUCAACCUGUGGCCUGCAUUUGCACCUGUAGUUCUUGAGUACUGGAGAG